GAUGAACGCUGGCGGCGUGCCUAAUACAUGCAAGUCGAGCGAAUGGAUUAAGAGCUUGCUCUUAUGAAGUUAGCGGCGGACGGGUGAGUAACACGUGGGUAACCUGCCCAUAAGACUAGGAUAACUCCGGGAAACCGGGGAUAAUACCGGAUAACAUUUUGAACCGCAUGGUUCGAAAUUGAAAGGCGGCUUCGGCUGUCACUUGUGGAUGGACCCGCGUCGCAUUAGGUAGUUGGUGAGGUAACGGCUCAGGAAGGCAACGAUGCGUAGCCGACCUGAGAGGGUGAUCGGCCACACUGGGACUGAGACACGGCCCAGACUCCUACGGGAGGCAGCAGUAGGGAAUCUUCCGCAAUGGACGAAAGUCUGACGGAGCAACGCCGCGUGAGUGAUGAAGGCUUUCGGGUCGUAAAACUCUGUUGUUAGGGAAGAACAAGUGCUAGUUGAAUAAGCUGGCACCUUGACGGUACCUAACCAGAAAGCCACGGCUAACUACGUGCCAGCCGCCGCCGUAA
rnacentral:rRNA from 1 species